rnacentral:tRNA from 1 species
GUAGUUGGCUCGGUGCUAGAGCGCUUGCCUUGCAUGCAUGAGGUCCUGGGUUCGAUUCCCAGGACCACA